CCUACGGGUGGCAGCAGUGGGGAAUAUUGGGCAAUGGGCGCAAGCCUGACCCAGCAACGCCGCGUGAAGGAAGAAGGCUUUCGGGUUGUAAACUUCUUUUGACAGGGAAGAGCAGAAGACGGUACCUGCCGAAUAAGCCACGGCUAACUACGUGCCAGCAGCCGCGGUAAUACGUAGGUGGCGAGGGUGUUCCGGAUUUACUGGGGGUAAAGGGCGUGUAGCGGGGCUGACAAGUCAGAUGUGAAAUCCGGGGGCUCAACCCCCGAACUGCAGUUGAAACUGUUGGUCUUGAGUAUCGGAGAGGCAGGCGGAAUUCCUGGUGUAGCGGUGAAAUGCGUAGAUAUCAGGAGGAACACCGGCGGCGAAGGCGGCCUGCUGGCCCGCGACUGACGUUGAGGCUCGAAAGCGUGGGGAGCGAACAGGAUUAGAUACCCUUGUAGUC
rnacentral:rRNA from 1 species